CCUACGGGUGGCAGCAGUGAGGAAUAUUGGUCAAUGGGCGGAAGCCUGAACCAGCCAAGUAGCGUGCGGGAUGAAGGCCCUACGGGUCGUAAACCGCUUUUGCACCGGGAUAACACCCUCCACUUGUGGAGGUCUGCAGGUACCGUGCGAAUAAGGGCCGGCUAAUUCCGUGCCAGCAGCCGCGGUAAUACGGAAGGCCCGAGAGUUAUCCGGAUUCCUUGGGCUUAAAGGGAGCGUAGGCGGGCGUUCAAGUCAGCUGUAAAAGCGCGCGGCUCAACCGUAAAAUUGCAAUUGAUACUGGCAGCCUUGAGUACAGUUGAGGUAGGCGGAAUUCGUGGGGUAGCGGUGAAAUGCUUAGAGAGCACGAAGAACUCCGAUUGCGAAGGCAGACUACUAAACUGCCACUGAUAUUGAUGCUCGAAAGUGUGGGUAUCAAACAGGAUUAGAUACCCGGGUAGUC
rnacentral:rRNA from 1 species